GACGAACGCUGGCGGCGUGCUUAACACAUGCAAGUCGAACGGUGACCCUCGGAGCUUGCUUCGGGGUGAACAGUGGCGAACGGGUGAGUAACACGUGAGUAACCUGCCCCUGACUCUGGAAUAAGCGCUGGAAACGGCGUCUAAUACCGGAUAUGACACACCUUCGCAUCGGGAGGGCGUGGAAAGUUUUUCGGUCUGGGAUGAGCUCGCGGCCUAUCAGCUAGGUGGUGAGGUAAUGGCUCACCGAGGCGUAGACGGGUAGCCGGCCUGAGAGGGUGACCGGCCACACUGGGACUGGGACACGGCCCAGACUCCUACGGGAGGCAGCAGUGGGGAAUAUUGCACAAUGGGCGCAAGCCUGAUGCAGCAACGCCGCGUGAGGGACGACGGCCUUCGGGUUGUAAACCUCUUUUAGCAGGGAAGAAGCGAAAGUGACGGUACCUGCAGAAAAAGCACCGGCUAACUACGUGCCAGCCGCCGCGGUAAGAC
rnacentral:rRNA from 1 species